AAUGAACGCUGGCGGCAGGCCUAACACAUGCAAGUCGAACGGAUCCUUCGGGAUUAGUGGCGGACGGGUGAGUAACGCGUGGGAACAUACCCUUUGGUACGGAGUAGCCUCGGGAAACUGGGAGUAAUACCGUAUGUGGUCGAGGGACGAAAGAUUUAUCGCCAAAGGAUUGGCCCGCGUUGGAUUAGGUAGUUGGUGGGUAAUGGCCUACCAAGCCGACGAUCCAUAGCUGGUUUGAGAGGAUGAUCAGCCACACUGGGACUGAGACACGGCCCAGACUCCUACGGGAGGCAGCAGUGGGGAAUCUUAGACAAUGGGGGAAACCCUGAUCUAGCCAUGCCGCGUGAUCGAUGAAGGCCUUAGGGUUGUAAAGAUCUUUCAGGUGGGAAGAUAAUGACUGUACCACCAGAAGAAGCCCCGGCUAACUCCGUGCCAGCCGCCGCCGUAAUAC
rnacentral:rRNA from 1 species